CCCUUAGAUGUCCGGGGCCGCACGCGCGCUACACUGAAGGAAUCAGCGUGGCUUUCUCCCUGACCCGAAAGGGUUGGGAAACCCGUUGAAUCUCCUUCGUGAUAGGGAUUGGGGCUUGAAAUUGUUCCCCAUGAACGAGGAAUUCCCAGUAAGCGCGAGUCAUAAGCUCGCGUUGAUUACGUCCCUGCCCUUUUUACACACCGCCCGUCGCUACUACCGAUUGAACGGUUUAGUGAGGGCCUCGGAUUGGUCUCGGCCCGCUCUUUACCGGGCGGCGCCGUUGGUCGAGAAGACGCUCGAACUUGAUCGUUUAGAGGAAGUAAAAGUCGUAACA
rnacentral:rRNA from 1 species